rnacentral:rRNA from 1 species
UACGUAGGGGGCAAGCGUUGUCCGGAAUCAUUGGGCGUAAAGAGCGUGUAGGCGGCUUGGUAAGUCCGCUGUGAAAGUCCAGGGCUCAACCCUGGAAUGCCGGUGGAAACUGUCAAGCUUGAGUCCGGAAGAGGCGAGUGGAAUUCCUGGUGUAGCGGUGAAAUGCGCAGAUAUCAGGAGGAACACCUGUGGCGAAAGCGGCUCACUGGACCAUAACUGACGCUGAUGCACGAAAGCUAGGGGAGCAAACAGG